UCUGUAUCUUGGUGAGCUUCCUAUGUUUAGUAAGUAGUUUAGAGCAAAGUGGCACGCUUGGCGCAGUGUUGUAUGGCCUGUGUGUGCAUGUGUAGUGAAAUUGAUAGGAUCGCGUGACGUAUCUGAGGAAAAACAGGUUUUCCACGCUUUUCGCGCAGUUUUCCCGUUGCUAAAGUUUUCCGGGAACAGUGAAAAACCGUUAGCAAGUUGGUGUAGUGUUUAAGUUUGAGUAGGUCACUGUUUCAGUAAGUUGGAAAGUGUGUUUUUGUGUGUGUACGUGAUAUUAAGACAGCUGUUUGAUACGGCUGCCAAAGCAACUUUCACAAACGGAUUACACAUGAAUUGAUAUUUACUCUCGACACCAACCUUGGAUAUAAUUAGCAAUCAGUGUGCAGACCGUCAAUGGUAACCCUUAGCACAAAUGCUCCGCCCCCUUGCCCCGCCUAAUUUCGGUGCAAAUUGCUGGAAAUUCAUCAAGAAAAAGAACGAUAAUUUCAAAAAUUGAUCAACCCCAAUGUUAACUUAUGCUCUCUUAUGAACUAUAGUCUACUAACUAGUUUCCAUUUUUUAUGCUCAAUAAUUUAUAUGUAAAAAGAAGUUUAUAGCACGGUAACAAAGAUCCUUUAUAAAAAUUGAAACAUUCUGCAAUAUUACUUUUAGACGCUCUCAAGUUAUUCAUCUGUGAUUUCCUAUCGGAUUUUAAAAGUUUCUAUUAUUGUUGGAGAAAAUAUUGACUGUUUGUGUUUCUCAUCCUGUUUGUUUCACAUAUAUUAUAUUUACUGUUGAUUUUAUUAUAAAUAGCAUACAUUUUUUAAUUUAAUUAGGAAAGAAAGGACACUCAUGUGGGUUGUAGUUAGUUAGGUUGAGACCGGGAGCAGUAUUUUUGUAUUUUUGCCCAAUUUUUGGACGAUUUGAGUGAAAUUUUUUGAAAAUGUAUGCCAUUUUGGAUGUCGGUUAACCAUUGACGGUGAUAGCCAAUAGGGAAGCAGGGACUCUCAGAAAGAACCCUGAAAAGGGGGUUUUGGAAAUCUACAGUUACCGCACUUAGAUCAGGAUGCUGGGUGAUUACUACUCUACAAAUGCCACCAACCCCCUCCUCAAGGGUGCCCUAUCUAGGUGAGUGUUGACUUUCAAUAAUUUGGCUGCUCAUUGGUAAGCUAAUUAAUUUGUUGAAAUUUCAUUGUUUUAUUUGUUCAAUGCAUAUUUUUCAAACCUUAAUAUUUCUGCAUUCAAUUAUGUUGAAUUGAUGCAUUGUUUUUCUUUAAAACGACCACUUCUUUCAAUCUAGAGCUAGUUCUUUCCCAAAGAGCUGUGGUUCACGGUGUCCACGCUAAUUUAUUAAUUUUUUAUUGGAUGAAAUAAACAAUCUAAUUAUUGAGAAAAUGAAAUUCAUUAUCAAAUCUGAGAAUAAAAAUUAAUUGAAAUUUAAACAUGGAAUAAAAUUGAUGUGAUCGGAUAGUAAUAAAACCAAAUCUAUAAAGUAUAUGGAACUUUUCUCUUCUCUCUUCAUUUUCAAAGAUUUAUAUGAUUCAAAUAGACUUUUGAAUUGAAAGAUUAGUCGAUGCUGAGUUUCCUGAAGGAUCCAUGCUCCAUGUUGAAGUUUGUUCCAUUGUGAUUGAUAUCCUUGACUUUGUGAUUUCCUGCUUCCGCCAACCACUCCUUCUCUUCUAUCAUCUUCUUCUGCCAAUUUCCUAUAACAAAAUAA